AAGGUCGUGGCCUCGUUCAAGUAAUCCAGGAUAGGCUGUGCAGGUCCCAAGGGGCCUAUUCUUGGUUACUUGCACGAGGACGCGGGCCUG
rnacentral:pre_miRNA from 1 species